rnacentral:rRNA from 1 species
GACGAACGCUGGCGGCGUGCUUAACACAUGCAAGUCGUACGGUAAGGCCCUUUCGGGGGUACACGAGUGGCGAACGGGUGAGUAACACGUGAGUAACCUGCCCACAACUUUGGGAUAACGCUAGGAAACUGGUGCUAAUACUGGAUAUGUGCUCCUGCUGCAUGGUGGGGGUUGGAAAGCUCCGGCGGUUGUGGAUGGACUCGCGGCCUAUCAGCUUGUUGGUGGGGUAGUGGCCUACCAAGGCGGCGACGGGUAGCCGGCCUGAGAGGGUGACCGGCCACAUUGGGACUGAGAUACGGCCCAGACUCCUACGGGAGGCAGCAGUGGGGAAUAUUGCACAAUGGGCGCAAGCCUGAUGCAGCAACGCCGCGUGCGGGAUGACGGCCUUCGGGUCGUAAACCGCUUUCAGCAGGGACGAAGCUUUUUGUGACGGUACCUGCAGAAGAAGCACCGGCUAACUACGUG